rnacentral:rRNA from 1 species
GACGAGGCACUACGGUGCUGAAGCAACAAAUGCCCUGCUUCCAGGAAAAGCCUCUAAGCAUCAGGUAACAUCAAAUCGUACCCCAAACCGACACAGGUGGUCAGGUAGAGAAUACCAAGGCGCUUGAGAGAACUCGGGUGAAGGAACUAGGCAAAAUGGUGCCGUAACUUCGGGAGAAGGCACGCUGACAUGUAGGUGAAGUGAUUUACUCAUGGAGCUGAAGUCAGUCGAAGAUACCAGCUGGCUGCAACUGUUUAUUAAAAACACAGCACUGUGCAAACACGAAAGUGGACGUAUACGGUGUGACGCCUGCCCGGUGCCGGAAGGUUAAUUGAUGGGGUCAGCGCAAGCGAAGCUCCUGAUCGAAGCCCCGGUAAACGGCGGCCGUAACUAUAACGGUCCUAAGGUAGCGAAAUUCCUUGUCGGGUAAGUUCCGACCUGCACGAAUGGCGUAAUGAUGGCCAGGCUGUCUCCACCCGAGACUCAGUGAAAUUGAACUCGCUGUGAAGAUGCAGUGUACCCGCGGCAAGACGGAAAGACCCCGUGAACCUUUACUAUAGCUUGACACUGAACAUUGAGCCUUGAUGUGUAGGAUAGGUGGGAGGCUUUGAAGUGUGGACGCCAGUCUGCAUGGAGCCGACCUUGAAAUACCACCCUUUAAUGUUUGAUGUUCUAACGUGGACCCGUUAUCCGGGUUGCGGACAGUGUCUGGUGGGUAGUUUGACUGGGGCGGUCUCCUCCUAAAGAGUAACGGAGGAGCACGAAGGUUGGCUAAUCCUGGUCGGACAUCAGGAGGUUAGUGCAAUGGCAUAAGCCAGCUUGACUGCGAGCGUGACGGCGCGAGCAGGUGCGAAAGCAGGUCAUAGUGAUCCGGUGGUUCUGAAUGGAAGGGCCAUCGCUCAACGGAUAAAAGGUACUCCGGGGAUAACAGGCUGAUACCGCCCAAGAGUUCAUAUCGACGGCGGUGUUUGGCACCUCGAUGUCGGCUCAUCACAUCCUGGGGCUGAAGUAGGUCCCAAGGGUAUGGCUGUUCGCCAUUUAAAGUGGUACGCGAGCUGGGUUUAGAACGUCGUGAGACAGUUCGGUCCCUAUCUGCCGUGGGCGCUGGAGAACUGAGGGGGGCUGCUCCUAGUACGAGAGGACCGGAGUGGACGCAUCACUGGUGUUCGGGUUGUCAUGCCAAUGGCACUGCCCGGUAGCUAAAUGCGGAAGAGAUAAGUGCUGAAAGCAUCUAAGCACGAAACUUGCCCCGAGAUGAGUUCUCCCUGAGACUUUAGAGUCUCCUGAAGGAACGUUGAAGACGACGACGUUGAUAGGCCGGGUGUGUAAGCGCAGCGAUGCGUUGAGCUAACCGGUACUAAUGAACCGUGAGGCUUAACCUUACAACGCCGAAG